rnacentral:lncRNA from 1 species
GCUACAGAAACAAAAGAAAUAUUUAAGAAGCGAAAAGAGCAAUGACGAAAGGUGAAAGCAGAAGUCGAAGCCCGACGCGAAAAGCUUCCUGAUAUAAGCAGAAGCGGCCAGGAGGAGGGAUACUAGCCCGGUCAGUUGGCCCGGGAAGCUCAAACUCAUACUCCGGAGGAACCCCAUACUGAAUUCUGAUCAAUGAGAGUUCAUCUGAAGUCAGAGUGCUAGGAAUGGUGUCUGGAACAAAGACCGAAAGAGGUUCAUCUACAAAACUAGGGUUUUAUGGGAUUGGAACGGAUGAACUCCUAGAACUACUAU